rnacentral:lncRNA from 1 species
UGAGUCGUGGAGUAUUCUCCGUUGGCAGCUACUGGAAACACCUCAAGGUGUUUAUUGACAAAUACUUCCUACAGACCUUUGUAAUAGAGAAUUCUCCUUUCUGCCUGCUCUCUAGUACCUAUAAGGCCCAUCUUUUCCACAAAAAAUAUAAAUGCUUUUUUUUUUUUCUCAAUAACCUCUGUAAUAUACCUUCAGCAGAAGCUAUGGAUGAAGUAUGCUUCUAGUCCAAAGGCACUCAGUCCUCCAGCUUUGAACAGUGCAGUGCCAUUUCCUCUCCAUUUGUUUCUAUGGAGCUGACUAUGUGUGCGGUCAUCCAUAAGGGUGCUGAGAUACCCUGGAGAGAGAAGGGAUGGCUGGAGCUAUUUUUCAUUAUUUUAUACUACACUUCGUAAUAAAUGAGAUCCAUAGCAUGUGAACACUGGUCUUGUAGCUCAUCAUAUCAGCAAGCACAAGGAACCUUAUGUGCUAAAUAAAAUAAGUAAGCUUGAGAAAAUUUGUCUGGUGAGGCAGUAGGGUGUUCAGUGUUCAACUGUACAGUGCAACCUCUCUGACUGAGAAUGACAUUAAGACCCACAGUAACUACAGAACAACUAGUUUCAGAGCUAAAGCAGUCUAUAAUUUAUAUCUAUCUACACUCACAGCCUUUCUUCCACAACAAAAAUGUACUGACUUAAAUCUCCAUUGUCUUACAGAGGUCUUUGGGGUAACAGAGAACAGCAAGCCACUUGUGAUCCACAAAGGAAAAUGGCAGCACAAGCAUCAGGAUUGAACUUCUGCAGUAGUGGUGAUGGUGUGCCACCUGGCUGUGGAAUCAUGCGCAAGGCUCCAAGGGUCUGUGUUUCCUAUGGCACAAGAAGACUACCAGCUGAGGCAACAGGCUAGAGAUUCCUCCAGUACUGUUUCACAGAAUCAUAGAAUAUCCUGCGUUGGAAAGGACCCACAAAAGUCAUAGAGUCCAGAUCCUGGAGGGGACUCUUUGAGCUUUCCACUUUCGGCUUUGUGUCGUUGGCCAAGGAGCUGCCUUUCCUGCAGUUAACAGCAUCAGGGUUGAACUCUCUCCUGAGAAAGUCAGUCUGUCUGUAUGGAAGGAGCAAGACAAACACUCAGACACAAGUCCCAGCUUGGCAGCUGCAGUCUUAAAAUUUGCAACCCUUCGAAUCAAGUUCAAGUGUGCCUUUCCUUCAAGGAUAGAACCAUGCUUGCAGCUAUCAUCGACCCCUGUGAUUCAAAAUACCAACACCACCACCUGGAAAUCCAUCUCAGAUGCCGCUCCUUCUUCAAGCAGAGUUUCCCACCUGUCUCAAACCAGGGGUUUUAGACAAUCAUGGAACUACCUGUGAAUAAUGCUGUGGUUCUGCUUCCUCCAGUGUGUCUUCAUAGGCCUGAUGUCAGCUUCUUUCUUGUGGAGACAAAGAAUGUCACCAUGAAUGUCCAUUGGCAAACUGGAUAAGAAGGAGUGUCACAGUGCAGGACAACCUAGAAAAUGACAGGUAUUUCCAGGCAUAGCAAUGAUGAGAUCAAAUUCCCCUCAACCUGCCUUGUUUGCUGAUCUUUUAAUCAGAUUCAACUUCACUGCAGCUACAGCACAAGGUUCCCUGACAAUGUAUGACAGCAUGUGACAGAAAAAUAUUUUGAUUUUGUUUUUUUGUUUUUUUGGUUUUUUUUUUUGACCAUUUGAUGCUAUUUCAGAUAUAUCUGAAGCCCUGGCAGCAUCUGCUAAAUCUACCGAACUGUUUUAGUGGAGGUUUUUAUACUUGCAUAAUUGAACCAGAGGGUUUGGGGGUUGUGUUCAUGUGCGUGUAGGGGAAUCCAAACAGGAAAGCUGGGAAAUGAUCUAAACCCUUUGAGGUUAACGUGCCAUGAAAGAGCAUCAACGACCGAAGAGGACAUUAUUAAAAAGCAGCCAACCCAGCUCAAAAAGAACCACUGUGUGAAGCAAGAGCCUGCAGAACAACACCCAGGGCUGUUUGUGAUCCCACUGGGAUAUGUAUUUCAUCCCCUGUCUUCAUAUCUCCAGAUUUCCUCUGAACUGCUUCUGAGACGCGUUCUCGAAAAAGAAAAACACCAGCAACUACUGAAUGCCUCUUAUCAACCUUUUCCCCGCAAUCUGUUUCGUAUUCGUCUCACACCCUUGUUCUCGCAGUGUCUUGGGGAAAUGCUCGGAUCAAAGAUAAGAGAGAACAAGGAAAGGAAUGAAGCAAGAGGCAAACAACAAAACAAAACCACCCCCCACCCCCCCCCAAACUUUCUGACUAAACUUCUCUGCGAACCGUGUGCACGAUUACAGCACUGUUAAAACUGCCUUCUUCUUCGCCAGUACUUAAUUCCUGCUUUUAAAAUCAGGCUCCCUUUGAUCUUGAGGAUUGAAAUGAUCUGGAAAUGAAACAGCCAUUGCUUUGCAGAAAAUCUGGAUAGGGUCCCAGGCAUGGCUUUUACCUGGAAGGAUUCCAAAAUAGGAUGAAAUCUCUCCGGUUUCAGAACAAAUUGCAAGAUUUUUCUCUAUGUCUAGGCCAACUGUGGAACUCCAGCCCUGACGUCUGCUAGUUCCCAAAGCGCAGAUGUAAUAACCUCUAAGGUAAACUGUGGGCCCUAUUCCUCCAUUUUCUCCCCUCUGCCUCUCCUUCAAGGAUCAAAUGUUUGGAGAAUUUUAUUAAAACAAAGACUUAAAUUUCUGAGCAAACUUAAGUUGAGGAGACAGUUGCUUAUAACCUGGGCUAGGUUCAGCCACAGGAGGGUUGGGCAGGACAGAGGACCAGGAGCAUCUGUAACAUCUGGAUCUUGUUGCAUGCGAAGAAAUAUCUGCCUGGCUUUGCACAACCUGAUCCCAGAGCCAAAAGGGCUGAGAAAUGUGGUUAAGAGACGAUGAAGCUCACUUUGCCCUACCAAAUAAGUCCCACUGAGAAAGUAAGCACAUCAAUAUUUCUUUGAGUGUUUUUCUUCUAGUUCAUAUAUUUCCAUAUGCUGCAUGAAUAUUUCUUUUAUUGGGGAUUGCAAGUCCAUCUGGUAGUUGUAUUGGGAAGGCUUGAGCUGACAGAUCCCUACUCUGUGCUCUGUUACAGAGAUUUGGACUGCUCUUAUAGGAAUCAUAGAAUCACAGAAUCAUUAAGGUUGGGAAGACCAAUAAGAUCCUCUAGUCCAACCAUCAACCCAUGCCUGUGACUGCUCUAGACCAUGUCUCUCAGUGCCACAUGUCCGCAGUUCUUGAACACCUCCAGGGACGGUGACUCCACCACCUCCCUGGGCAGCCUGUGCCAAUGCAUCUCUUUCUGAGAAGUUUUUCCUAACAUCCAACCUGAGAACAGUUGUUGAUCAGGUUAUUGUAUCUGAAGGACAGCAGUCAGCAAGAAAGAAACCUCUCUCUCUGUAUGUAGUUCUCAGUGCACCAACUCUGACCUGGGAAUCAUAAAGGAGAAAGGAUGCCUGAACAUCAGUACUAAGCAGAAAAUGUGCUGAGAUGUCACAGUUUGCCAAGACAACGAGAAUCACUUUCCCUUGUAUGUAUUAUUACAGAACAGGGGAAUAAUUAUCUGCUUUCAUACAAGCUUUUUCCUUCUGCAUGAUUAACUUCACUGAUAUCAAUAGAGAGUGUGAUGACUCUGAAAUGACAGCUCCUGGUAGCACGUUCUGGGAUUAGCACAAACAGGUUGUCACUGUACCCCUGUUAGGAACAGUCAGUCUUGUCAUGCUGAGUGCAGGACAGAAAAGCCAGGCUGGGACCAGGCAUCUGCCACCACCAUGUCUGUUUUCAUGGGUGGCUCUCAGUUUGGGAUAUAGGGCUGGCUACUUCAAUGGGGCACAAGGGCCUUCAUGCAGACCCGCAGGAUGGCAGCGGAGAAGCUUCCAGAUCCAAAUCACCUGGUCAUCCUUGUGCUAAGGGAUGAGUUGCAGCCUAAAAUCUGCAUUCUUCAGCUCAUGGAAUGGUUGAAUGGAGAGGAAGGUCAGAGAUGCGAGAGAGCAAGUCGAGGUAUUAGUAUGAAACAACCAACCUAUCCUUUUACUAAAGUUGUAAAAGAAUCUGUCAUAGGUCUCCUGUGGAAAUUAAUCAGUGUAUGGAAAACUGGAUAACAACUAUGGGGACAACAGGAAUGUGCCUAUAAAUUAAAAGAAGCUAUUGUGAGCAUGCAGAGCUAUCUGGGGAAGGCACUGGGGCAGGAUAGCAGUGCUCAGUGGAGCUAGGACAGGGUCCACAUAAAGGGAUUCUUCAGUAAAGUCCAUACUUUGUCAAUGUCAAGAUACACGGGAACUGUAAAACAAAGCAAACUGUGUGCAUGGAAUGAAAAUAGAAAUUUAGUCCAUCAUCGUGUGCCUUUGAAAACGUCAUAAUCCUUUUAAAAAGAUGACAAAAUAUCUGUGUAUUUUUUAAGAAACGUAGCAGGUGAAAGGAUUCAUUCUCAAAAAUCCAUGAAGUGUACAGUGAUGAGUUAUUGAGGAUUGGGGGGGAGGGUGUUUUUGUAAUUCUGUAGGCAUCUCAGUCCUCUGGUGAAAUGAUGUAUGGGGCAAUCGUCUGGUAGGGGCUGAUGGGAUGUAAAUGAAACUAAUUAAGGAAAUGUCAAACAUAAUUAAUAAAACAGGUUUAAGUUGCAAAAGCACUGUCAGCUGAAUGAAUGGGGAAGAGUGUGGCAUUCCCAUUGUUGUGGGGCUUGCUUGCUUAUUUAUAUAUUUAUUUAUUUAUUCCUCGCUCACCCCCUUGGCCUCCCACUAGCUCUGCAGUUGCAUCAUUCAAUUAGAUCUCAGAAAGCUCUUGCUAGACGCUUGCAUUUCCUCCUUGCCCCCCUUCUGAGCUGGGGUCCCAUAGAAUAGGAGGAAUAUAAAUUUGCCCUGUCGAUUUGCAGCCUGGGAAGAAGAAGAAAAAAAUUAAUUGCUAACUCCUCAUCUUCCCUAAGUACUACAGGACAUUAACAUAACCAAUUUGCUUGAACUCCUCACUGGCUGCUUAAUAGAGCAUCUGACCAGCUGAUAAGACCUGGGUGCUGCUGCCUAUGAUACCUUGUUAUUAGCAUUUUCAUAAUAUUCAGAUAUUACAGCCCCAUGAUUCACUAGCCUCCAUUCAUUAUUGAUAAGUACAAAAAAUAAAUAAAAAGGGUUUAUAA